AAAUUGAAGAGUUUGAUCAUGGCUCAGAUUGAACGCUGGCGGCAGGCCUAACACAUGCAAGUCGAACGGUAACAGGGAUCAGCUUGCUGAUUCGCUGACGAGUGGCGGACGGGUGAGUAAUGUCUGGGAAACUGCCUGAUGGAGGGGG
rnacentral:rRNA from 1 species